rnacentral:rRNA from 1 species
GAUGAACGCUGGCGGCGUGCCUAAUACAUGCAAGUCGAGCGAACAGACGAGGAGUUUGCUCCUUUGACGUUAGCGGCGGACGGGUGAGUAGCACGUAGUUUACCUACCUAUUAGACUGGGAUAACUUCGGGAAACCGGAGCUACUACCGGAUAAUAUUUCGAACCGCAUGGUUCGAUAGUGAAGUAUGUCUUUGCUAUCCUUUCUGGAUGUCCCUUCGCCGUAUUAGUUAUUUGGUAAGGUAACGGCUUACCAAGGCCACGCUACGUAGCAGACCUGAGAGGGGGAGCGGGCACGAGGGAGCUGACGGACGGACCGGAACCGAGAGGGGGGCAGGAGUAGGGAAGGUGGCGGAAGGGGCGAAAGCCUGACGAAGGGAGGCCGCGUGAGGGAUGAAGGUCUCCGGAUGGUAAAACGCUGUUGUGAGGGAAGAACAAACGGGUAGGUAACUGUGCACGUGUUGAGGGUACCUAAUCAGAAGGCCACGGCUACCUCCGG